GACGAACGCUGGCGGCGUGCUUAACACAUGCAAGUCGAACGAUGAAGCCUAGCUUGCUAGGUGGAUUAGUGGCGAACGGGUGAGUAAUACGUGAGUAACCUACCUUUAACUCUGGGAUAAGCCUGGGAAACUGGGUCUAAUACCGGAUACGACCGAUCUCCGCAUGGGGUGUUGGUGGAAAGCGUUAUGUAGUGGUUAUAGAUGGGCUCACGGCCUAUCAGCUUGUUGGUGAGGUAACGGCUCACCAAGGCGACGACGGGUAGCCGGCCUGAGAGGGUGACCGGCCACACUGGGACUGAGACACGGCCCAGACUCCUACGGGAGGCGGCAGUGGGGAAUAUUGCACAAUGGGCGCAAGCCUGAUGCAGCGACGCCGCGUGAGGGAUGACGGCCUUCGGGUUGUAAACCUCUGUUAGCAGGGAAGAAGAGAAAUUGACGGUACCUGCAGAGAAAGCGCCGGCUAACUACGUGCCAGCAGCCGCGGUAAUACGUAGGGCGCGAGCGUUGUCCGGAAUUAUUGGGCGUAAAGAGCUUGUAGGCGGUUUGUCGCGUCUGCUGUGAAAGGCCGGGGCUUAACCCCGUGUAUUGCAGUGGGUACGGGCAGACUAGAGUGCAGUAGGGGAGACUGGAAUUCCUGGUGUAGCGGUGGAAUGCGCAGAUAUCAGGAGGAACACCGAUGGCGAAGGCAGGUCUCUGGGCUGUAACUGACGCUGAGAAAGCGAAAGCAUGGGGGAGCGAAACAGG
rnacentral:rRNA from 1 species